CAGUAACACUAAUGUCUCUUCUCUACUCUUUCAAAAGUGGCAGCCAAAUAACUUUCCUUAUGAACAGUAACACUAAUGUCUCUUUACAAAUUUAACCCCACCUUAGAGGAAGAACAGAGCUUUUCAUGUGUUUCCCUUUCUGAAUUAUUCAACCACUUUAUUCAAGCUUUAUCUUCCUCUAAUUAAUGGAGCUUCAAUUCUUCAUCCCAUCCCAGAAAAGUCUUAACAUCCCCAUUUCCGUUCGGUGUUCCUCUCUCCUAUUUGCUAAUUUGGUUCUUUUAAAAUUCAAAUAGUUGAAUGUUGAAAAAUACCAAGUUAAUUCCAAGAACCUGGACAUUUUAAUUUCCCCUUCUCUAAAAGAAAUUGAACUUGGAUCAUAAAAGAGGAAAGAGAAGAGAUUGAACUUGGAUCAUAAAAGAAGAAAGAGAUAACGAAGAAGAGGCGUGGGUUUUGUUGAUGAAGAAGAGGCGUGGGUUUUGUUGCUCUAAGAUGGGUUUACUCACUCGAACUUCAUCUCACUUCAAGCAACAAUCUAAGUUUCAAUUACGGAAAUGUCGAGGGUCUCUUUGCUCUACAAAGCUUAAUUAGCCAAACCAUAGAAAGAAGGGCAACGAGCACAACAUCCCUGUUUGUGAGGAAAAAGUUACAGAGAAAAAACUUCAUUAGAUAAUUUUUUAGAUGAAGAGAAGGGUGAACCAGUUGUAGGUUUCAGUUGUGGCAUUAGCUCAAAGGAAGUUAGAAAUCAAGAAGUUAAAUGAAAAGUUAAGCUCCUUGGAAGACCAGCCGAAGAAAUACCAGGAAGAGGCCCAUGAGGUUUCCGGGAUUGUUGAAUCUAAUAAAGUUGAAACCGAAAACAUGGCUGAAAAAUUAGGCGUUAAAAGCUUACUUCUCUUGAAGGAAAACUAACAGUACACCAGGAAGAAGCUCGUGAAGCCUCUGGGAUCGCUGAAUCAAGAAAAUAUGACAUUGAACAGUUGCGGGUUUCAGUUGUGGCAUUAGCUCAAAGGGAGUUGGAAAUCAAGGAGUUAAAUGACAAGUUAAGCUCCCUUGAAGACCAACUAAAGAAAUACCAGGAAGAGACCCUUGAGGUGUCGCGGAUCGCUGAAUCUCGUAAACUUGAAUUUGAAAAUAUGCUUCUGAAAUUACAAGAGAAGACGAAAAUGGUUGAUGAACUACAACUUGAAGUAGGUCAAGUUGAGACACGUAACGAAGCCUUGGCUGAGGCAUAUAUAAAACUCAUUCAGGGUCUAGCUUUGGAUGAGACCGAACAAAGUGAUCUCCAAGCUAAGCUGUCACAUGUUCUGGAUGAGAAGGAUGCCAUUGCUGCGAAAUGUUUCUUGUCAGAGAAGGCAGCUGAGGAGUUACGCCAUGAGCUAACUUCUGAAAAGGAAAAGCUCCAGUCUGAGAUAUCUGCAGCCAGCUUCACGAAACAAUAAAAGAACUUCAAGCAAUUGUGGUCAAAUUAGAAGAGCAACUAAAAGAAUAUAGAGGAAAAGAAGAUGCUUCAAAGACUGAGAUUGAAAAUCUUAACUUUGAAACUUCUGAGAAUCUUCCCUGCAAGCAAGGUUGAAGGAACUUGAAGAGCAAUGUCUGGCAACUGAGGCUCAAUAGAAAGAAGAGGUUAAAAAUGUACAAACAUCUGCUACAGCGAAAGAGGUUGAUUUGACUUCUCAGUUGGAAUAUCAUACGGAGUAUGCAAAAACUCCAUGAUCGUGAUUCGUUGUAGGAAAGGGUUGUGAAACUUGAAGAAGAGUUACAGCUUGCAGAGACCACCGUAACUAAGCUGAAAGAGGAGAGUUCCACAAAGAUCUCUAAAUUGGAAGCUGCCAAGAGUCAUACAGCUGAAGAGCUUGACGCCAAAAACAAAAAAAUCAUAUUUCUCGGAAAGAAAAUUGAGGAAGUUAGCUGUGUUGAAGAAAACAUAUCGCAUUGUGAAACCUUUGUAUACUCACCUUAGCUUUGGCUGUGACUAUCGGAGGAAAAUGGUGGAUAUGGAUUAUGAACUAUGGAACGAUAACAUCGAGGUGCAUCCUGAAGCUGCACCUUACAGAACGUAUGGAUGUCCACUUUAUGAUGAUCUAUGCAAAAUAUUUACAAAGCCCGUAGCUACUGGAAAGUAUGCUUUCUCACCUGAGAUGAUUACUCCAGUCACUAGCUCUACUUCACGGAAAAAAACAAGGCUUAAGCUUGGAUAUCAUGUAACAAACCACCUUAGAGUGGUUUGAUUUAGGGAACGUUGGCCCAAUAAUUUUGUAAACACUAACAAACUACCUUUGGUUUGAUUCAGGGAAUGUUAAUCCCUUAAUUUUGUAAACUUUAUGUUAUAACUAAGUGUUUGUGCAUAGUAAAUAAGUCCUUACUCAAUAUAUUCAUAAGCACUAGAA